rnacentral:rRNA from 1 species
AACGAACGCUUGCGGCGCGCCUAAUACAUGCAAGUCGAACGACGUAGCAAUACGGAGUGGCGCACGGGUGAGUAACACGUGGAUAAUCUGCCCUCUACUGGGGAAUAACUAACCGAAAGGUUAGCUAACACCGCAUGAGACCACAGUGCCUGCGGGCACAGAGGUUAAAAAUUUAUUGGUAGAGGAUGAGUCUGCGCGGG